GUAGGGUGCGAGCGUUAAUCGGAAUUACUGGGCGUAAAGCGUGCGCAGGCGGUUUUGUAAGCCAGAUGUGAAAUCCCCGGGCUUAACCUGGGAAUGGCAUUUGGGACUGCAAGGCUCGAGUGCGGCAGAGGAGACUGGAAUUCCUGGUGUAGCAGUGAAAUGCGUAGAUAUCAGGAGGAACACCGAUGGCGAAGGCAGGUCUCUGGGCUGACACUGACGCUCAUGCACGAAAGCGUGGGGAGCAAACAGGAUUAGAUACCCUGGUAGUCCACGCCCUAAACGAUGUCGACUGGUUGUUGGGGGUUUGACACUCUCAGUAACGAAGCUAACGCGUGAAGUCGACCGCCUGGGGAGUACGGCCGCAAGGUUA
rnacentral:rRNA from 1 species